rnacentral:rRNA from 1 species
AAUAGAUACCCGGGUAGUCCAUGCCGUAAACGUUGGGAACUAGAUGUGGGGACCAUUCCACGGUCUCCGUGUCGCAGCUAACGCAUUAAGUUCCCCGCCUGGGGAGUACGGCCGCAAGGCUAAAACUCAAAGGAAUUGACGGGGGGCCCGCACAAGCGGCGGAGCAUGCGGAUUAAUUCGAUGCAACGCGAAGAACCUUACCAAGGCUUGACAUAUACGAGAACGCCGUAGAAAUACGGAACUCUUUGGACACUCGUAUACAGGUGGUGCAUGGUUGUCGUCAGCUCGUGUCGUGAGAUGUUGGGUUAAGUCCCGCAACGAGCGCAACCCUCGUCGUAUGUUGCCAGCACGUAAUGGUGGGAACUCAUAUGAGACUGCCGGGGUCAACUCGGAGGAAGGUGGGGAUGAGGUCAAAUCAUCAUGCCCCUUAUGUCUUGGGCUUCACGCAUGCUACAAUGGCCGGUACAAAGGGCUGCAAUACCGCGAGGUGGAGCGAAUCCCGAAAAAGCCGGUCUCAGUUCGGAUUGAGGUCUGCAACUCCG